rnacentral:rRNA from 1 species
CGCUGGCGGCGUGCCUAAUACAUGCAAGUCGAACGGUCUUUCUAUGGAAGCUGCUUCCACUGAGAAGAUAGUGGCGAACGGGUGAGUAACACGUGGGUAACCUGCCCAUAAGAGGGGGGAUAACAUCCGGAAACGGGUGCUAAUACCGCAUAGUUUUCUUGAUCGCAUGAUCGGGAAAGGAAAGACGGCCUUUGUGCUGUCGCUUAUGGAUGGACCCGCGGCGUAUUAGUUAGUUGGUGAGGUAACGGCUCACCAAGACGAUGAUACGUAGCCGACCUGGGAGGGUGAUCGGCCACAUUGGGACUGAGACACGGCCCAAACUCCUACGGGAGGCAGCAGUAGGGAAUCUUCCGCAAUGGACGAAAGUCUGACGGAGCAACGCCGCGUGAGUGAAAGAAGGUUUUCGGAUCGUAAAACUCUGUUGUCAGAGAAGAACAAGUUGGAGAGUAACUGCUCCAGCCUUGACGGUAUCUGACCAGAAAGCCACGGCUAACUACGUGCCAGCCGCCGC